rnacentral:tRNA from 3 species
GGCUCUGUAGCUUAGAGGUAAAGCGCCUGUCUCAUGCGCAGGAGAUCGAGGGUUCGAUUCCCUCCAGAGCCA